UACAGAGGUCCCAAGCGUUGUUCGGAUUCACUGGGCGUAAAGGGUGCGUAGGCGGUCGGGUAAGUCUGAUGUGAAAUCUCCAAGCUUAACUUGGAAAUGACAUCGGAUACUAUUCGGCUCGAGGAAUGGAGGGGAGACUGGAAUACUUGGUGUAGCAGUGAAAUGCGUAGAUAUCAAGUGGAACACCAGUGGCGAAGGCGAGUCUCUGGACAUUUCCUGACGCUGAGGCACGAAAGCCAGGGGAGCAAACGGG
rnacentral:rRNA from 1 species